CCUACGGGUGGCAGCAGUGGGGGAUAUUGGACAAUGGGGGAAACCCUGAUCCAGCGACGCCGCGUGAGUGAAGAAGUAUUUCGGUAUGUAAAGCUCUAUCAGCAGGGAAGAAAGAAAUGACGGUACCUGAGUAAGAAGCCCCGGCUAACUACGUGCCAGCAGCCGCGGUAAUACGUAGGGGGCAAGCGUUAUCCGGAAUUACUGGGUGUAAAGGGAGCGUAGACGGUAAUGCAAGUCUGGAGUGAAAGGCGGGGGCUCAACCCCCGGACUGCUCUGGAAACUGUGUAACAGGAGUGCAGGAGAGGCAGGCGGAAUUCCUAGUGUAGCGGUGAAAUGCUUAGAUAUUAGGAGGAACACCAGUGGCGAAGGCGGCCUGCUGGACUGUAACUGACGUUGAGGCUCGAAAGCGUGGGGAGCAAACAGGAUUAGAUACCCCAGUAGUC
rnacentral:rRNA from 1 species